AAUCCAUGACUAGGACAUUUUCUCAACAUUGACUUAUACCUUUCCCAUGCUUCAUUGAGGGUUUCAUUAACACCUUGAGAGAAUGCUGAAAUAGCUGUUUUUGCUU